UUGCCUUUACAGCACUUCAACCAUGUCAACUCAGAGAGGAGAGAGCUGAUGGGACUGAGUUCUCAGCUGGAUGUUGUGAGCAGGAUGGCAAGAAACUGACAAGCUUAAGGAUUCAAAUGAAAUAGCCCAAUUAAGUAAGGCGACAUGAUUAGAACCUGAGGUGAUCAGAAGAAAAGCUGACCCUACUAAGGCAAUGUGACUAGAAGCCGACCUGGCUAAGAAGACCACCUAACUCAAGGACCGCAGAACGCGGCAUUAGACCUAGAGGUCUAAGAACGAAAAUAGUGCACCGUGACUACAAAUUCUCCUGAUGAGAUUCCCGACCUCUGUGGAUUCCCUCUUGGUUGGUGAAUCUGUGUCAUGGCAUGGUGGAGACCCC
rnacentral:lncRNA from 1 species